GGAAUCAAUGUCACAACUGGUGCACUAACAACGACACUGACCUUUCCAUAGUAAUUAGUAAGUGUUAUUUGUUGGAGUUGUACAGGAGC
rnacentral:pre_miRNA from 1 species